rnacentral:rRNA from 1 species
UACAGAGGUCUCAAGCGUUGUUCGGAUUCACUGGGCGUAAAGGGUGCGCAGGCGGUUGGGUGUGUCAGAUGUGAAAUCCCGAGGCUUAACCUCGGAACUGCGUCUGAAACUACUCGACUAGAGUACUGGAGAGGGAAACGGAAUUCACGGUGUAGCAGUGAAAUGCGUAGAUAUCGUGAGGAACACCAGAGGCGAAGGCGGUUUCCUGGACAGUUACUGACGCUCAGGCACGAAAGCAUGGGGAGCAAAAGGG